rnacentral:tRNA from 1 species
UCCCUGGUGCUCCAUUGGCUAAGACGCUGCACUCCCAAGGCAGGGGGCCAGGUUCAACCCCUGGUCAGGGAA